UCGAUGGGAGCUUGCUCCCUGAGAUUAGCGGCGGACGGGUGAGUAACACGUGGGCAACCUGCCUAUAAGACUGGGAUAACUUCGGGAAACCGGAGCUAAUACCGGAUACGUUCUUUUCUCGCAUGAGAGAAGAUGGAAAGACGGUUUCGGCUGUCACUUAUAGAUGGGCCCGCGGCGCAUUAGCUAGUUGGUGAGGUAAUGGCUCACCAAGGCGACGAUGCGUAGCCGACCUGAGAGGGUGAUCGGCCACACUGGGACUGAGACACGGCCCAGACUCCUACGGGAGGCAGCAGUAGGGAAUCUUCCGCAAUGGACGAAAGUCUGACGGAGCAACGCCGCGUGAACGAAGAAGGCCUUCGGGUCGUAAAGUUCUGUUGUUAGGGAAGAACAAGUACCAGAGUAACUGCUGGUACCUUGACGGUACCUAACCAGAAAGCCACGGCUAACUACGUGCCAGCAGCCGCGGUAAUACGUAGGUGGCAAGCGUUGUCCGGAAUUAUUGGGCGUAAAGCGCGCGCAGGUGGUUCCUUAAGUCUGAUGUGAAAGCCCACGGCUCAACCGUGGAGGGUCAUUGGAAACUGGGGAACUUGAGUACAGAAGAGGAAAGUGGAAUUCCAAGUGUAGCGGUGAAAUGCGUAGAGAUUUG
rnacentral:rRNA from 1 species